AGUGAACGCUGGCGGUAGGCCUAACACAUGCAAGUCGAACGGCAGCACAGUAAGAGCUUGCUCUUACGGGUGGCGAGUGGCGGACGGGAGAGGAAUACAUCGGAAUCUACUUUUUCGUGGGGGAUAACGUAGGGAAACUUACGCUAAUACCGCAUACGACCUACGGGUGAAAGCAGGGGAUCUUCGGACCUUGCGCGAUUGAAUGAGCCGAUGUCGGAUUAGCUAGUUGGCGGGGUAAAGGCCCACCAAGGCGACGAUCCGUAGCUGGUCUGAGAGGAUGAUCAGCCACACUGGAACUGAGACACGGUCCAGACUCCAACGGGAGGCAGCAGUGGGGAAUAUUGGACAAUGGGCGCAAGCCUGAUCCAGCCAUACCGCGUGGGUGAAGAAGGCCUUCGGGUUGUAAAGCCCUUUUGUUGGGAAAGAAAAGCAGCAGGUUAAUACCCCGCUGUUCUGACGGUACCCAAAGAAUAAGCACCGGCUAACUUCGU
rnacentral:rRNA from 1 species